rnacentral:lncRNA from 1 species
CCUGGCCACAACCCCACUCAAAAGUGGGUAGAGAAAUUCACAGUCUUGAGCUACGUGUUCAAGGACGUCUACAAGCUGGGUUUGGAAACCGGAGAUAAUCGUGCUAAGCAGACAGAGCGUGGACAAAGGGAUUCAUUCACCAAUGACAUCAUCCGCAAAGGCUGCUGUUAAGCAAGAAAACCUGGUUGUAAACGCAGCAUUCAAGAAUGUGGGCCAAGUUCAUCUUCACUAACAUCCGACCAUAUUGUUAACAAAAACACAAUGAUCUCUGCCUGUUGACGAACUGUGAGAAAGGGAUGUAUGUAAACCCAACUCUGUGGGAG